GGAUGAGCCCGCGGCCUAUCAGCUUGUUGGUGGGGUAAUGGCCUACCAAGGCGACGACGGGUAGCCGGCCUGAGAGGGUGACCGGCCACACUGGGACUGAGAUACGGCCCAAACUCCUACGGGAGGCUGCAGUGGGGAAUAUUGCACAAUGGGGGAAACCCUGAUGCAGCGACGCCGCGUGAGUGAUGGAGGCCUUCGGGUUGUAAACCUCUUUUGUUAGGGAGCAAGCGAUAAUGACGGUACCUAAGGAGGAAGCCACGGCUAACUACGUGCCAGCAGCCGCGGUAAUACGUAGGGUGCGAGCGUUAUCCGGAAUUACUGGGCGUAAAGGGAGCGUAGGCGGUUCGUCGCGUCCGGUGUGAAAGUCCAUCGCUUAACGGUGGAUCCGCGCCGGGUACGGGCGGGCUGGAGUGCGGUAAGGGGAGACUGGAAUUCCCGGUGUAACGGUGGAAUGUGUAGAUAUCGGGAAGCACCCUAAUGGCAAAAGAAAAUCUCUGGGCCGUUACUGACGCUGAGGAGCGAAAGCGUGGGGAGCGAACAGGAUUAGAUACCCUGGUAGUCCAUGCCGUAAACGGUGGGUACUGGGUUGAGGGUCCCGUUCCACGGGUUCCGUGUCGGAGCUAACGCGUUAAGCAUCCCGCCUGGGGAGUACGGCCGCAAGGCUAAAACUCAAAGGAAUUGACGGGGGCCCGCACAAGCGGCGGAGUAUGUGGUUUAAUUCGAAGCAACGCGAAGAACCUUACCAGGUCUUGACAUUGAUGGACAGAACUAGAGAUUACGGUGUCCUUUGGGGUCGUGCACAGGUGGUGCAUGGUUGUCGUCAGCUCGUGUCGUGAGAUGUUGGGUUAAGUCCCGCAACGAGCGCAACCCUCGUCCUGUAUUGCCAGCAGCGGUCUUUGGCCGGCUGGGGACUCGCGGGAGACUGCCGGGGUCAACUCGGAGGAAGGUGGGGAUGACGUCAAAUCAUCAUGCCCCUUAUGUCCUGGGCUGCACGCAUGCUACAAUGGCCGGUACAGAGGGCUGCGAUGCCGUGAGGCGGAGCGAAUCCCGGAAAGCCGGUCUCAGUUCGGAUCGGGGUCUGCAACUCGACCCCGUGAAGUCGGAGUCGCUAGUAAUCGCAGAUCAGCAACGCUGCGGUGAAUACGUUCCCGGGCCUUGUACACACCGCCCGUCACGUCACGAAAGUCGGUAACACCCGAAGCCCGCGGCCUAACCCCGUUUGGGGAGGGAGCGGUCGAAGGUGGGGCUG
rnacentral:rRNA from 1 species